rnacentral:tRNA from 1 species
GUCGAGCGCGGCACGGUGCGCGAGGUGCUCAAGUCGCCUCAGCACCCGUACACCUGGGGCCUGCUGGGAUCGAUGCCGAGGCUCGCCUCC